CAAACAAGAUGCUCCGCAUCAGACUGCGACAUCGUCAACGUCGCGUGUCCAAGCUGGAGAACAUUCCACCUGACUCCGAGAGCUGCUCGUGAUUUCAGCAAGAUGAUGUCGUGUCUGUGCCGGCGUGCUUAUUGUAAAUAAGUAGCCCUGUAAUUUAUUAAACGUAGCCUGUUAACUACAGUACCAAUACAGGUAGAGGUAACGUUUGAAGAAGUGACUUCCAGAUGGCCAAUUAAUCUGACAAAAAUACUAAAAUCAUUACAAAAAGUAAAGCGCCUUGUUAAUAUCGCAUUCUUGUAUCCCCUCCAAUUACUGCCUUUUUGGGAGACCUCCGGUCUUUCCAGAUAAGCCAGCGAUGAAAUUAAACACAGCGAUUGUGGGUGACAUCGUGCAAACCUUAGAAAAAAUAUUCAAAGUGGUUGAAAAACUCGAGAGAGGCAGCAUACACACCAAGUAUGGUGACGAGGCUAAGAUGCUACGCAACAGGUUGCAGUUAACCAAAUGACGAUUAUCGGGAAG